rnacentral:rRNA from 1 species
UACAGAGGGGGCAAGCGUUAUUCGGAAUUAUUGGGCGUAAAGGGCGCGUAGGCGGCUUGGCAAGUGACGGGUGAAAUCCUGGAGCUCAACUCCAGAACUGCCUUUGAUACUGGGGAUCUCGAGUCCGGGAGAGGUGAGUGGAACUCCGAGUGUAGAGGUGAAAUUCGUAGAUAUUCGGAAGAACACCAGUGGCGAAGGCGGCUCACUGGCCCGGUACUGACGCUGAGGUGCGAAAGCGUGGGGAGCAAACAGG